GGGAAACACUGACAGGAAGUCUCUGGAUUAAAAAAAAAGUUUUUCCUCAAACAACAUGUGACUUUCUCAGAUAUGUCAUUUCAAAUAUUCUGUUUAGUUUAGCAUCAGCAACGCUUUGAAGGCAAUGAAUCAAAUUUCUUUCUUUCUUUGCUUCAUUUUUAGAGCAGCAUGUGAGUGAAGCUGUUGGUUUUCUUCUGGUUGUGUUUGGCAGGUUGGACGAUUGAAAUUCUUGAUCUGUCUGUUUCCUGUUAUUAAUCACCUCUGACUGCAUGCUGUUAAGCUGUAAUUUUAGGUUUCUGGUUCUUGCUAACAUCUGUAUCCUCAGACUGAUAGGAGCCGGGACUCCUCCACUUAUCUGUCAUCAUCUGUCACACUCCAACCUUAACUGCUGGAGACGUCUGAACCUGCUGACUCUUUAUCUAAAAUCUAUUAAAGUAAAUAUUUAAGAAGGGAUUUAUAAACAGUGAUAAAACAUCAUGACGGAAUAUUUGUUACUGAUUGAACAAAAAAAUUGAAGUUUUAUGAACAUAAAAGGAGCCUGGGCCAUCCUGAGAGGAUGUUUGGACCUGAUAUGAUCUCACACAUGCUGCUUUCACCAGCACACUGACUGUAUACAAAGAUGGACAUACCCACUGUAACAUCACCGAUUGGUUUGUGGAGUCCUAUUUAUGAGACCUCAAAAUGUCUUCAUUACCACCCUACUAACUUUUCUCUUAUUCUCUAAAAACCUUUGAUUGACAGCUCAUGGCCCACUGAGCGUGCUUUGAUUGCCCCAUUAGAGUCAAUAAGAGCCAUAAACAAGUGACUCCUCAGGAGAGGUUUUACUUUUUUUUUCAAAGACAAGUUUUACAAAUUAAUUUUGCUCUAAUGAGCUAAAUUCAUGAGUCAGUUGUAGUUUUUAGAGUAGUGGCUUGUUUUCGUCUAAAGCUAUUAAGUAUUUGCAGGUCUAAAUGCUCCUUCAAUUACUGAAAGCAAAUAAACACUGAGGCACCGCUGAGAGUUAAAAAUGGUCCAGAUAGGAUCUUCACAUCAGCAAGGAAAGAAUGAUGAGAGUCCCCAGUGAGAAGAGAUGAAUUCCUUUGGUUCAUUUCCAGCUUCUUCUUCCUGCAAUUCAAACUUCAGCCGAGAUAACUGUAAUGAUCAGAAGCUGUUGCUGUGCUGUAAAGUUAAUACAGUUCCAUGCCAGACCACAAGGUGGCACUAUUUGUGUGGACACUAAGAUGUGAGCUAUAGUGAUGGGAAUAGGGCUUUGGAGUUGACGUCAUGCCGCAGUGCAUUGUGGGAUCGCGGCGCCAUGUCAGUAGGCUAGAAAGCAAAACAAGCGCACAGUGUUGGAGUGUUGGAAUCGGGACUGCCAGAAACAUGCUCAAAAUCAGCGCAAAAGACAAAGGGCUGUAUCGCGACCGAUUGCGCCCAGACCCCAAGAGACGGUACUUUGAAAAAAUUGCGUGCAUCGGUAAUGUGGACCCGUAUGAAAUAAGGAAGUGGAGUGGAAACCCAGACGACCUACCGCCUUUGUCCUAUCCCGAUAUCUUCGCAUACCUUGUCUGUGGAGUCAGCGCAUACACAGCAAACCAGUUUAAGAAUUUUAAAUCCCUGGAGGCCCACAUCCAAUUCACGAACGGCUGGGUGCAAGCUUUGUCCGUCUUUAAGCCCCCACGCUGCGAGUGCGUUGUCGUUAAGACAUAGGUACUGCACUCACAACGACUGAAUGAAACUGCAUUACAGCCAUGGGUCAUUGUGAGCACCAAUGGGAGGGUUGAGGCUGCUCACUGCACAUGCAUGGCAGGAGUUGCAGAGACCUGCACCCAUGUCGCUGCUCUUUUGUUUAAAGUCAAGGCUACAGUGCGUAUAAGAGGCACCAGAACUGUAACAGACGAGCCAGCAUAUUGGGUAUUGCCCGGAAAUAUGACCAGGAUACAGCCCGAGGUUGCACAUAACAUUGACUUCUCCUCAGCAGCUGCCCAAAAACGUGGUCUUGAUGAAAACAUAAACACACCCUCCUUUUGCCUUUGAGAGGCAAAAGGAGGCGAUCGCAAAAAAGGCAGAUUCCUAUUGCAACGCUGGAGGAUUUGUCACCAUUACUGGAUACACUACUGUCAGGUACAAACACAAAUCUUUGUUACCGGCGCCAACCACUGACCUCAUUGUGUGGACACAGAGAGAUCUUGCUGUGAUACGCAUCUUCCCUGAUGUGGAUUUCUGGGAACCACGUUUAAAGCAAGCACAAGAUUUCUUUCUUAAAGUGUGUCUUCCUGAA